AGAGUUUGAUCCUGGCUCAGAUUGAACGCUGGCGGCAGGCCUAACACAUGCAAGUCGAGCGCGAAAAGCUUUCGGGCUGAGUAGAGCGGCGGACGGGUGAGUAACGCGUAGGAAUCUACCUGGUAGUGGGGGACAACUUGGGGAAACUCAAGCUAAUACCGCAUACGCCCUAUGGGGGAAAGUGGGGGACUUUUGGGCCUCACGCUAUUGGAUGAGCCUGCGUAGGAUUAGCUUGUUGGUGAGGUAAAGGCUCACCAAGGCGACGAUCCUUAGCUGGUCUGAGAGGAUGAUCAGCCACACUGGAACUGAGACACGGUCCAGACUCCUACGGGAGGCAGCAGUGGGGAAUAUUGCGCAAUGGGCGAAAGCCUGACGCAGCCAUGCCGCGUGUGAAGAAGGCCUUAGGGUUGUAAAGCACUUUCAAUUGGGAAGAAAAGUUUGUCGUUAAUAGCGGCAAGCCCUGACAUUACCUUUAGAAGAAGCACCGCUAACU
rnacentral:rRNA from 1 species